AUGUUCUUUCGUAAAAUAUGUUGCAUUCAGUUGGCAAUACGGAAAUGGGCUGCCAGUGACAAUGAGCUUGUGCAAACAAUGUCUGAGGAAAUGAAGCGGAAAUUUGACAAAUAUUGGAAAGAUGUACUUGAUCUUAUGUCUGUCGCAACUGUUCUUGAUCCAAGGUACAAGCUUCAUAUGUUGCAAGCUAUUUUUGGUUCUCUCUAUGGAACGGAACAUGCAGCUGUGGAAGUUGCCAGAAUAAGGAAUUUAAUGGCUAAUUUGCUGAAACAAUAUCAAGAAGCUGAUGGGGUUGUGGCUACAUCAGAGGCUGUUAGCAGUGCUGCUUCAGGAGCUGGUGGAGAAGAUGACAUAAUGGACAUAUUUGAUCAAUAUAUGUCCUCACGGCCUACUAUCGGUGCUUCUCCAGUGCAGACAGAAUUGGACUUGUACUUGGAAGAGGAAAUUAUCCGUAGAAUACCAGACGAAGACAUCAUGACUUGGUGGAAGUAUGGGGGUGCAAAGUAUCCUACUUUGCAAAGAAUUGCUCGUGAUAUAUUGCCUAUCCCUGCAUCAGCUGUGAUAUCAGAAUCAGCCUUUAAUACGAAGGGCAGGCUGCUUAGUCCACAUCGUGGCCAACUUGCGCCAAGCAUGGUAGAAGCUAUUAUGUGUAUGAAGGCUUGGUCCCGUGCUGACAUGAUUGGGGACGGCAAUUCGACCCUCUGUGCAGUGUUUCAGAGUGUUCUUGAUGAUGAAGAAGAAAUGAUGGAUGACUCUGAAUCUAUGGUAACGGAAGACUAG
rnacentral:rRNA from 1 species